rnacentral:rRNA from 1 species
GCACCGGCCAACUACGUGCCAGCAGCCGCGGUAAUACGUAGGGUGCAAGCGUUGUCCGGAAUUAUUGGGCGUAAAGAGCUCGUAGGCGGUUUGUUGCGUCGGCUGUGAAAUCCCGAGGCUCAACCUCGGGUCUGCAGUCGAUACGAGCAAACUAGAGUGUUGCAGGGGAGACUGGAAUUCCUGGUGUAGCGGUGAAAUGCGCAGAUAUCAGGAGGAACACCGGUGGCGAAGGCGGGUCUCUGGGCAACAACUGACGCUGAGGAGCGAAAGCGUGGGGAGCGAACAGGAUUAGAUACCCUGGUAGUCCACGCCGUAAACGUUGGGCGCUAGGUGUGGGGCUCAUUCCACGAGUUCCGUGCCGCAGCUAACGCAUUAAGCGCCCCGCCUGGGGAGUACGGCCGCA